rnacentral:rRNA from 1 species
UACAGAGGUCUCAAGCGUUGUUCGGAUUCAUUGGGCGUAAAGGGUGCGUAGGUGGCGCUGUAAGUCGGGUGUGAAAUUUCGGAGCUUAACUCCGAAACUGCAUUCGAUACUGCGGUGCUUGAGGACUGGAGAGGAGACUGGAAUUUACGGUGUAGCGGUGAAAUGCGUAGAUAUCGUAAGGAAGACCAGUGGCGAAGGCGGGUCUCUGGACAGUUCCUGACGCUGAGGCACGAAGGUCAGGGGGAGCAAAACGGGG